UUGUUUCAUAUGGAAUUGUACAAUUCUGCAUAAAGAUUCUGAAGACGAGCUGCUGCAUCGAUAAUCUGAGGAAGAAAGUUCUCUGUUAAGACUGCAAGAAGAUACUACCAACUGCCUGGAGGCCAAGAACAGAGUGCAGCACUGGCUGUAGGUAAGGACUAAAACUUAACCUGCUUGACAACUCUCCUGGCUUAAAAGAAGCAGAAAUUAGAAUAAGAUAAAGGGCAGAAAAUGGGUCUGUGCUGAGUAUUGGCACUUUUCUGUUUAAGAACUAGUUUUCCCCCGUUUGCUUCCACGAUUUUUG
rnacentral:lncRNA from 1 species